rnacentral:rRNA from 1 species
UACGUAGGGGGCUAGCGUUGUCCGGAAUCAUUGGGCGUAAAGCGCGUGUAGGCGGUCCGGUAAGUCCGCUGUGAAAGUCGGGGGCUCAACCCUCGAAUGCCGGUGGAUACUGUCGGGCUAGAGUGCGGAAGAGGCGAGUGGAAUUCCUGGUGUAGCGGUGAAAUGCGCAGAUAUCAGGAAGAAUAUCCGUGGCGAAGGCGGCUCUCUGGUACGGCACUGACGCUGAGACGCGAAAGCGUGGGGAGCGAACAGG